UACGUAGGGUGCGAGCGUUGCCCGGAUUUAUUGGGCGUAAAGGGCGCGUAGGCGGCCACGCACGUCCGUUGUGAAAUCGCCCGGCUCAACUGGGCGGGGUCAGCGGAUACGGUGUGGCUCGAGCAAGCUAGGGGGCAAUGGAAUUCCGGGUGUAGUGGUGGAAUGCGUAGAGAUCCGGAGGAACACCAGCGGCGAAGGCGGCAUCCUGGACUGGUCCUGACGCUCAGGAGCGAAAGCGUGGGGAGCAAACAGG
rnacentral:rRNA from 1 species